rnacentral:misc_RNA from 1 species
GUAGGUGAACCUGCGGAAGGAUCAUUAACACGUAUCCAACGUUAAACAACCCGUGAACCUUCAUUCCGGUGUUUGGCAUUUUUAUCUGGAGAAUGUCUGGUAACUCACUGCAACAGAUUGAUUCAGACGUUUCUUCGGUAAAAGGGCUGGCCACUUGCGCAAUUUAGAUGAGGGCGUCCGAGCUUGUGUAGUAGGAAAGCGCUUGCGCGUUCUUGCGAACGAGUAACGACAAUCUGUCAGCUGACAUCGU